rnacentral:rRNA from 1 species
AACGAACGCUGGCGGCAGGCUUAACACAUGCAAGUCGAACGGAUGCAGCAAUGCAUCAGUGGCAGACGGGUGAGUAACACGUGGGAACCUUCCUCGGGGUACGGAACAACUCAGGGAAACUUGAGCUAAUACCGUAUACGUCCGUGAGGAGAAAGAUUUAUCGCCCUGAGACGGGCCCGCGUCGGAUUAGCUAGUUGGUGGGGUAAUGGCCUACCAAGGCGACGAUCAUUAGCUGGAUCGAGAGGUUGACCAGCCACACUGGGACUGGGAUACGGCCCAGACUCCUACGGGAGGCAGCAGUGAGGAAUUUUCCACAAUGGACGAAAGUCUGAUGGAGCAACGCCGCGUGCAGGAAGACGGCUUUCGGGUUGUAAACUGCUUUUAUUUGGGAAGAUUAUGACGGUACCAAAUGAAUAAGGAUCGGCUAACUACGUGCCAGCCGCCGCCGUAA